rnacentral:tRNA from 2 species
GCGGAUGUGGCGGAAUUGGCAGACGCGCUAGGUUCAGGUCCUAGUGGGGGUAAAACCCCGUGGAGGUUCAAGUCCUCUCAUCCGCA